UCAUCGGGUGGCAUGCCUUACACAUGCAAGUCGAACGGCAGCACGGGUGCUUGCACCUGGUGGCGAGUGGCGAACGGGUGAGUAAUACAUCGGAACAUGUCCUGUAGUGGGGGAUAGCCCGGCGAAAGCCGGAUUAAUACCGCAUACGAUCUACGGAUGAAAGCGGGGGACCUUCGGGCCUCGCGCUAUAGGGUUGGCCGAUGGCUGAUUAGCUAGUUGGUGGGGUAAAGGCCUACCAAGGCGACGAUCAGUAGCUGGUCUGAGAGGACGACCAGCCACACUGGGACUGAGACACGGCCCAGACUCCUACGGGAGGCAGCAGUGGGGAAUUUUGGACAAUGGGCGAAAGCCUGAUCCAGCAAUGCCGCGUGUGUGAAGAAGGCCUUCGGGUUGUAAAGCACUUUUGUCCGGAAAGAAAUCCUUGGCUCUAAUACAGUCGGGGGAUGACGGUACCGGAAGAAUAAGCACCGGCUAACUACGUGCCAGCAGCCGCGGUAAUACGUAGGGUGCAAGCGUUAAUCGGAAUUACUGGGCGUAAAGCGUGCGCAGGCGGUUUGCUUAGACCGAUGUGAAAUCCCCCGGGCUCAACCUGGGAACUGCAUUGGUGACUGGCAGGCUAAAA
rnacentral:rRNA from 1 species